GAUGAACGCUGGCGGCGUGCCUAAUACAUGCAAGUCGAGCGAACAGACCAGGAGCUUGCUCCUCUGACGUUAGCGGCAGACGUGUGAGUAACACGUGGAUAACCUACCUAUUAGACUGGGAUAACUUCGGGAAUCCGGAUCUAAUACCCUAUAAUAUAUUGAACUGCAUGGUUCCAUAGUGAACGACGGCUUUGCUGUCACUUAUAGAUCGAUCCGCGCAGCAUUAGCUAGUUGGUAAGGGUACGGCUUACCAAGGCAACGAUUCGUAGCCGACCUUAGAGGGUGAUCGGCCAGAGAGGAACUGAGACCCGGUCCAGACUCCUACGGGAGGCACAAGUAGGGAACCUUCCGAAAUGGGCGCAAGCCUGACGGAGGAACGCCGCGCGAGUGAUGAAGGUCUUCGGAUAGUAAAACUCUGUUAUUAGGGAAGAACAACGGUGUAAGUAACUAUGCACGUCCUGACGGUACCUAAUCAGAACGCAACGGCUAACUACGUG
rnacentral:rRNA from 1 species